rnacentral:rRNA from 1 species
CGGUAAUUCCAGCUCCAAUAGCGUAUAUUAAAGUUGUUGCAGUUAAAAAGCUCGUAGUUGGAUUUCUGGUGGGAGCACGGGUCGGCCUUAACGGGUUGCACUGUUGUUGCGUCCUGCCGUUUCGGAGGGAAGGGCUUCGCUAUUCAGUUAGUGGGGUCGGGAACUCCGUCGUUUACUGUGAAAAAAUUAGAGUGUUCAAAGCAGGCCUUCGCUGUGAAUACAUUAGCAUGGAAUAAUAAGAUAGGACUGUAGUGCUAUUUUGUUGGUUUGCGUACUACGGUAAUGAUUAAUAGGGAUAGUUGGGGGUAUUCAUAUUCAAUUGUCAGAGGUGAAAUUCUUGGAUUUAUGGAAGAUGAACGACUGCGAAAGCAUUUACCAAGGAUGUUUUCAUUAAUCAAGAACGAAAGUUAGGGGAUCGAAGAUGAUUAGAUACCAUCGUAGUCUUAACCAUAAACUAUGCCGACUCAGGAUUGGCCGACGUUGAUUUAAUGACUCGGUCAGCACUGUAUGAGAAAUCAAAGUCUUUGGGUUCCGGGGGGAGUAUGGUCGCAAGGCUGAAACUUAAAGGAAUUGACGGAAGGGCACCACCAGGAGUGGAGCCUGCGGGUUAAUUUGACUCAACACGGGAAAACUUACCAGGUCCGGACAUAGUAAGGAUUGACAGAUUGAUAGCUCUUUCUUGAUCCUAUGGGUGGUGGUGCAUGGCCGUUCUUAGUUGGUGGAGUGAUUUGUCUGGUUAAUUCCGUUAACGAACGAGACCUCAGCUUACUAAAUAGUCGGGCGAACUUAUGGUUGGUGGCGACUUCUUAGAGGGACGAUCGUCGUUUAGACGAUGGAAGUUUGAGGCAAUAACAGGUCUGUGAUGUCCUUAGAUGUUAUGGGCCGCACGCGCGCUACACUGAUGCAUUCAACGAGCACCCGCUGGGCUGAGAGGUCCGGUUAAUCUUUGAACGUGCAUCGUGCUGGGGAUAGAUGAUUGCAAUUAUUCAUCUUCAACGAGGAAUUCCUAGUAAACGCAAGUCAUCAGCUUGCAUUGAUUACGUCCCUGCCCUUUGUACACACCGCCCGUCGCACCUACCGAUUGAAUGGUCCGGUGAAAUUCUCGGACGCGACCUGGUCAAUGUUUACUCGGCGCUUGGUUGUGAAAGUUAAUUAAACCUUACCAUUUAGAGGAAGGUGAAGUCGUAACAAGGUAACC